UAUGUGCCGGGCUAUGUAGCAGUGA
rnacentral:piRNA from 2 species